rnacentral:rRNA from 1 species
AUGGGUGAUUUUAACGAAAUUUUGUAUUCCUAUGAGGAAGAAAGGGGCAAUGCUUGAUCAAAUAUAGUGAUGAGAGAAUAUCGUAACUGUUUGGGAGAGUGUGGUUUGGAGGAUAUGGGAUGUAUUGAAGAUCCUUUCACUUGGAGGAGAGGCGAAAUAAGGGAGAGACUCGAUCGUGCAGUACGUAAUUUAGAAUGGGCGAAUAAAUUUCCUAGAAACGCAGUCAUAAAUGAAGAACAUGUACAUUUGAUCAUCGUCCUCUCAUCCUGGACACAAUUUUUUUGA